GCAGGAACGGGAGCUUCGUGACCGGUGCGUAGCUGGGAGCUUUGGCCAGCUACGGGAGAAGCUUCUGCUGAAGGCAGCGGAGAAGGGAGACGACCUGACUUUGAUGGACAUCAGGAGCGCAGCCAGGGUCUAUCAGGACGUACGGCAGCUGGGGUCGCUGGUUCAGGGUGGAGCAGGAGCGACUCAGGUUCAAGCUAUCCGCCAGGAUGCAAUGCGGAAAGCCGGGGCACCUGAAGCGCGACUGCCCUGGAAGGAAGCCGUCUGGAGGCGGAGGACGCGGUGGACACGGGGGUCAGGUUGGAGCCGACGGAGACUCUGUGGAAGAGGAA
rnacentral:misc_RNA from 1 species